GAAGCUGACACGCAAUAUGUUGCAGGCAUACAGCCCAAUUAGAAGCAUUACUGGCAGUAUCAAUUGGAAGUACAUAGUUCAGCUGAACAAUGUCUAAAAGAAAAGAGGACUACAUGUUGCCAACCGAGUCACAGAUAAGCAUGUGAACUUUGCUAAUCAGAAGACGAAGGUCUCCCUGGCUGCUCAGACUUUUACUAACUCUGUGGCAGUGGCGCUCCGCACCUUGCAGGACAUGGGCUAUGCAGAGUU